AACUCUUCUUUUGGCGAGCACACGUCGAUUUGUACGCAGCCGUUUUUGCUAAAAAAAAAUAAAUAUAAUGAGUUUUAAAAAGAGAGACUCAGAAAUAAGAAAGAUUUAGAAAUAGAAAGAAAAAAGAAGGAAAGAUUACAAAGAAGGUUAGAGAAGAAAGUAUAUACCUGUGUAUAUACAUGAAAUGUGUAUUUGUGAUGUAAAAGGAGAUUAUAUAGUGAACGACCAAAAGUGAGAACAAAAAACUAUAGGAAAGAAUGUGGGAAGAAUGUAGAAAAGAAAGGGAUAAAAGUGCGGCGAUUAUUGCAUUUUAUCGAUUGAUUCGACUCAUAUUUCUGGCAUCCAUCCAAGGAUCCGAUUGCCGCGUUAUGAUAAAUUGAAUCGAAACCGACUAUUUGGUAACGUUGGACUCCUUUCCUCCUGGCCCUCGAUAAAAUCUGGUGAAUUUCUCUUUGUGAUUUCAUUGUUAUUAUAUUCCUCGAGAUGGCGCCUCUUGGACGACUUGUCGGAAUCGCUGCUACCUUCCGAAUCUGUGCAACUGUGUGGCGAUGUAGUCCUGUGCGCCGUUCUUAAGUGCCUGUUCAUAUUAUCAUUAAUGGGAACUCGCAGAGCUGAGAACUUUGUUGCAAAUACCGCAACAGUAAUCAUCUUCACCGCUGCAAUCUGUGCUGCGGGGUGAACUAUGACCACGUAAAUGAUUUGUUAACUCUCUGGA